UACGGGGGGAGCAAGCGUUGUUCGGAUUUACUGGGCGUAAAGGGCGCGUAGGCGGCCACUGCAAGUCGGUUGUGAAAUCUCCGGGCUUAACUCGGAAAGGUCAAUCGAUACUGCAGGGCUAGAGUGCAGAAGGGGCAACUGGAAUUCUCGGUGUAGCGGUGAAAUGCGUAGAUAUCGAGAGGAACACCUGCGGCGAGGCGGGUUGCUGGGCUGACACUGACGCUGAAGCGCGAAAGCUAGGGGAGCGAACGGG
rnacentral:rRNA from 1 species